UACGAAGGGGGCUAGCGUUGCUCGGAAUCACUGGGCGUAAAGGGUGCGUAGGCGGGUCUUAAGUCAGGGGUGAAAUCCUGGAGCUCAACUCCAGAACUGCCUUUGAUACUGAGAGUCUUCGAGUCCGGGAGAGGUGAGUGGAACUGCGAGUGUAGAGGUGAAAUUCGUAGAUAUUCGCAAGAACACCAGUGGCGAAGGCGGCUCACUGGCCCGGUACUGACGCUGAGGUGCGAAAGCGUGGGGAGCAAACAGG
rnacentral:rRNA from 1 species